rnacentral:tRNA from 1 species
UCCCCCAUGGUGUAAUUGGCAGCACAGUAGCUUUUGGUGCUAUUUGUCCGGGUUCAAGUCCUGGUGGGGGAGCCC